AACGAACGCUGGCGGCGUGCCUAACACAUGCAAGUCGAACGUGAUUAGAGGGCUUGCUCUCUAUGAAAGUGGCGCACGGGUGAGUAACGCGUAGAUAAUCUGCCUGAUGAUCUGGGAUAACACUUCGAAAGGGGUGCUAAUACCGGAUAAGCCCACGGAGUCCUUGGACUCUGCGGGAAAAGGAGGGGACCUUCGGGCCUUCCGUCAUCAGAUGAGUCUGCGUACCAUUAGCUAGUUGGUAGGGUAAAGGCCUACCAAGGCGACGAUGGUUCGCAGGUCUGAGAGGAUGAUCAGCCACACUGGAACUGAGACACGGUCCAGACUCCUACGGGAGGCAGCAGUGGGGAAUUGUGCGCAAUGGGGGAAACCCUGACGCAGCAACGCCGCGUGAGUGAUGAAGGCCCUUGGGUCGUAAAGCUCUGACAGAGGGAAAGAAAUGUGGGUGGCUAAUAUCCAUUCCACUUGACGGUACCCUCAAAGGAAGCACCGGCUAACUCCGUGCCAGCAGCCGCCGCGGUAA
rnacentral:rRNA from 1 species